UACGGAGGAUGCAAGCGUUAUCCGGAAUUAUUGGGCGUAAAGCGUCCGCAGGUGGUUUAUCAAGUCUGCUGUCAAAGCGCGAGGCUUAACUUCGUAAAGGCAGUGGAAACUGAUAGACUGGAGUGCGGUAGGGGCAGAGGGAAUUCCCAGUGUAGCGGUGAAAUGCGUAGAUAUUGGGAAGAACACCAGUGGCGAAGGCGGUUCUCUGGGACGGUACUGACGCUGAGACGCGAAAGCGUGGGGAGCGAACAGG
rnacentral:rRNA from 1 species